GAGGGGUUAGAAAAAGAGAGGUGAGGAGAGGAAGCCGGCAGCUCUGCGCGGCACAGUUAGCAGGAUAGCAAGGAAGGCGGUGGAGUUGCUCCUCAGGCAGGCUGGCUGGCUGAACGACGGGAUUGCUCGUUACAUGAAGUGGCGCGCGACGUCUCAAGUCUGUCUCCGCCAGCGCCAAGCAGCUGUACCUACUAGAUUGCUGUUACGGGGCUGUGUGCAGCGUGCCUCGUGUGUGGUGACGGUGAUACAUAAUUACAAGCGUCUCUGCAAAUCCUGAUCGAUGAGUCGGAUGAAUAACUGACUGACAGGCUAACUGCUUGUUUGACGCGUGCAAGGCAGCGGUAAAUACUUGAAGAUAGCUCGUCUCUACUACUUUUAGUCUCCUGAAAUCCGUCAUCGCCAAGCAGAUGAAGUUUAACGGAGACUGUGGUCUAUCAUGUGCAAAUUGGUUGCAUGACUAGCGGACCUAUGACUCUUCAUGGCCAUGGUGUCUACAUGCAAGCGUCCCUUCAAGCACUGGUCGCCUUGGUACUGUAGUAGCUAUUGCAUGAACGGUCGACCGACGGUGAAGGGCUACUGGACUCUCAAGUGAGGCGGCGUGGCGGUGAGACUGCGUUAACAAGCUAAAUUUUGAAAGCCGCAAACUCCGUACUAGUUGGCUGGAUGUUUGACGGAGAUGAAUGUCUCAAGCGUGACGCAACAAACAGUACGUGGCUGCCUCUGUGUGCCAGCGCCAAGCAGAAACAAGAAGGAUGAUGGGUGGAUGUUCUCGGAUAAGUUGGUUGACUGUGUCGUAGCAACCAAGAGUGAGGCUGUGUGACGUGUCGGUGCCGGUGAUGUCACAUGCGCGCUGCUCCGAAGUAAUACGGAUCAUCCGUUGUUCCUCGUUUCCCCUUAUCUGCUGCUGCCGCCUGUUGAAGACUUCCUCGAGUCACCUGCGCCUGAGCGACCGAGAACACAAGUUAUUGUAUAUUCGUAGAGCGGCGCCUCCCCAUUCUCAGGCGUGGGUGAGCCGCCUACCGGAUCUUGACUCGUGGAUCAGUAGUGUUGCUGGUUAAUGAGUAUGUGUUCUUAAGAGUUCGAGAGACUCUCCACUUUGAAAUUUUAUUUUUAUUUUUUUUUUUAUAAAAUUUUCAACGGGAAUUCGGGAUUGUCUGUCACCGGACGCUCUUCGAGGUAUUGUAAGCCAUUAUAUAAAUUUUAUUUUUUAUAAAAUUUUCAACGGGAAUUUGGGAUUGUCUGUCAACGGACGCUCUUCGAGGUAUUGUAAGCCAUUAUAUAAACAGGACGCUAUCGGGUAUUAAGCCAUUAUACAUUUGGUAUAGUAGAAAAUAAAGCCUUGAUAUAUUAGAGGUAUAGUAAAAGCCUUUAUAUAUUAUAGAGGUAUUGUCUUGAGGUAUAGUAAAAGCCUUAUUAUAAUAAUGAGGUAUUGUAAGCCAUUAUAU